CAUAUGGAUGAGGACAGCUGCAUAAAGAAGUACCAAUCUCUAACUGUGGAGGGUACCUGUGGAAGAGGUACACCCAGGAAGAUAUAGGAAUGCGACGAGGUGGUGAAGCAUGACCUUCAAAUGUUGGGUCUCAUGGAAGGGAUGACAAGUGAUUGUGACUUUUGUUGAUUUGCUGUGCUUGAGAACACUCUUCAAACCAAGUGAAAUUGGAGUUGUGCCUGGUAUCUGUGACAUGUAACAACAUUUGUAUAGUGACACAUAAAAGUACUCGUGUCAGUGAGACGUAAGAGCACCUGUGCCAGUGACAUGUAAGAGCACCCGUGCCAGUGACACGUAAAAGCACCCUUGCCCGUGACAAAUAACAGCACCUAUGCCCGUGACACGUAAAAGCACCCAUGCCAGUGACACAUAAAAGCAACCAUGCUGGUGACGCGUAAAAAGCGCCCACUAUAUUCUCGGAGUGGUUGGCGUUAGGAAGGUCAUUCAGUUAUAGAAACCAAGCCAAAAAUCAGACUGGAACCUAGUGCAUCUCUCCAGCUUACCAGUUCCAGUCAAAGCGUUUAACCCAUGGGAAACAGACGUUAGAUGAUGAUGAUCUUAUUAUAAGAUAUUAGAAUAAUAUGUUCUUCAACUAGAAUAUUGAAGGGUCAAUGUCAACUAAAGGUGUCAAACAUCUGUAACUAAAAUCAGGUCAAUUGGAAUACAUUUAUGUAUGCUCCUGACUUUGUUUCUUCAUAACUUUCAGGAAAAAUAGAUAUUUUUCUUCAUGAAAUUUACUACACACCUCUCCGGUGGCGUAAAUUUCGAUUAUAACGGAAAUUGUUGUGAAGAAUUUUACGGAUGGCGGGGAGAUGAGGAGUUGCAGAACAUUCACACGAGUCAAACUUGUUUCCUCAUAACUUGUAGAAAAAUAAGUAUUUUUAAAUGAAAUUUUUCAUAAAUACCCUUUAGAUGGUGUCGAAUAGAAAUGUAUCGAAGUUUUAUGAGAAAAAAGAAAAGAAAAAAAAUUGUUAGGUGCACACUCAGUCAUACUGACAUCGGAAUAAAAUGGAAAUUGAAAUUUAAAAAAAAAUAUGUAAUGUGUGUCUACAUGUGCGCGAUACUAUCACCAAUUAUUUAAAAUAAAAACAAAACCCAUCAAAUACCGUUAUAGUCACAAUCUAGAUAUUUGUAGAAAAUUUCAUUAAAAAAUAGGGAUUUUCCCGAAAGUUAUGAAGGAAAAGAGUUCCAUGGGGUGGGGCAUACUUGUGUAGGUAUGCUCUUGAUUUAAUAGACAUCUAUAAACAUAGACUUUUACCUAGAGAAAAUAAAAACAUAAAAAUAGUUCCAUGUAAAUAUCAUCGAUUUAUAUUGAAAUUGAUUCCCAUGUAACAUAGCAUAGUAACCUUAUAUCUUCUGUUCCUCUAUAAAUCAAAUGUUUAAUUUCAUUUUUCAUUUUAAUAUAGAGUUAAGACAUCUGACAUAUUUUCGAGAUUCUACAUAAUUUUCUCUAAAAUGGCAGUCCCAACAGUAACUGUUGCAUUUACACUGAUCUUUGAUGUUUUGUAGCUAACAUUUUUAUUAUAAUCUGCACUAUGUGUAACUUAGCUUGAAGUAAUCGUCUUUUUUCUGAUUACACUAUUUUGUUCGUGUAGAUUUAUUAUAUUAGAUAUUGACGGAAAACUACUGCCAACACAAUCACAGGUUACAUAGUUUAGAGGACGUUAUUUCGUGAAUUCUCACACCGGAGUAUAUUCUAUAACUAACAUUCAUAAAAAAAAUAUUACAAGGAUGAGUUUUUCAAUUUUUAUUUUCUGUAUUUGAACUUUUAAAUAGUAAAAUAUAUAAACAUUCAACUUUCAUCAUAAAGUAUUAAUAGUAUUAAUUAUAUUUGAUCUACUUUUUUAAAUGACUUACCAAAAUAUAACAGAAAACAAUACAUCACGAAAAUAAAUAUCGAAUUUUUUAUUUCGUCGAUUUAUUGUUUCACACUCCCGUUGGUAGUUAGCAGUUUGUAUAAAUUAUACAGUAAAAUAUACUAUACGUUGUUAUAAAAAAUGUAAUGCUUUGAUUUAUUUAGUUGUGUUCUGAAAUAUACACCCACGUCGUAAUUGCCAUUUUGUAUAUCAGGUUACAAAGAGAACUAAUUUUAAUAAUUAACUUUUGGAUGAUUAAAGAAAAUACAAUUUAUUAUUAUAAUUUUUGCACUGGCGGUAGAAAAUUAUCAGUUUUAAUUGCUGCCAUACCCAAUUUAAUUAUACACCCAUUUCUAGAUUACGCAGAACUCUGGUUUCAAGUAAUACUUUUUUAAGACGAAUGUACCAUAAAGACGUAGAAAAUAUAAAACCAGAAAGUAACUUAAUAAAUAAGAAUUGGGUUUAUUUUGAAAAGCAUAUAGCAACAAAUAACUUCAAUUAAUAAUUUUAUUACAGAGGCACAAAGGAUUUAAAUUUAAUGGGAAGGUAAGGGUGAAUGACGUUUCAAAAAUGCCAUUUACCGUCAUCAAUAUGAAUAUACAUAAUUCUGAUGACAAUCAUAUUUUUUAAUAUUACGCUAUAAUAAACGAAUUAUAUUGUACUAGUCCGACACCCGUGACUUUGCUGAUGGUAGAUGGUAAAAUUUUUAGUUUAAAUUUUGUUGUGUCUAGGGAAAUUCAUUAUGCCAAUAUUAACACACGCACUGGUUUAAUUCCACUCCUUUAUUAUUAAAUUGGUUAAAUAUCCAUCUAACUAGUCGAUUGUUUGUUUAAUUUUAGUUUAAAGUUUGUCUGUUUAAAAGAUACACACACACAAUAUAUAUAUAUAUAUAUAUAUAUUACUAACUUCAAUAGAUUUAAACAAAAUAGCAACACCAAGAAUCGAAACUGGGAUGGAAGCGAUUGUUUGUGAAGUAUAAUUGCGUCACACUGUAACCCAUGACCUUUAGAAAUGUAUUUCUAUAUGUCCUUAUAAGGAAAUAGCAGCUUGGCAUAGUGUGACUAUUUCCGUCAUGCGGAUUUUGGUCGACCGUACAUCACCAGUUUAAAUAUAAUCUUCCGCCAGUAAUAUUUUAUACUUACAAAGUAUAUUAUUUAAUACUAAAACUCAAGAAAUACUCAUAUUACAUUAUUUAUUAUAUUUUGAAUUAUUUUAUACUAUACUAUAUAAUUAAGUCUGAAUAAAAUUGCUUUUUAAGGGGAACUAUAUUAUGCGCAUGAUCUCAGUGAUCAGUCUCGUAGUAAUAAGAAAUUCUUAUUGUGACGCACAGUUUGGAGAAAUUGCUCAUUCUGAAUGGAUGCUCGGAAAAUUUUAUCGUAAAUUUGGUUUGCUAUUUUCACUGUCUGGUAAGACAAAAAUGUAUUCUGAUCUAUUAACUUUAAUAAAACACUUUGUUCUUAAAAUUAGCUUUGUUUUGAUUGUUUUUUAAAGCUUUACUCACUUCUUCACAGUUUUUAUUUCUUAUCUAGCGGAUUAUGCUGAUGUAGUCUGCGCCAUCUUGAAAACCGAAGAAAUUUGAUUAUGCUCUCAACUGAAAUUGCAAACUACUUGUGGGUUUCUUUCUUCUGGGUAAGCGAAGUCAAGUAGUUGACCCUAUAAGUAACCACUUAAUAUUUAGUUUUGUUUACGUAUAAGAAUUAAAUAAAAUUUUGAAAUUUCUUGCUCUUAAGUUCUUAAAAUAAAAAUAACUUUCUUGGUUCCUCGCUGUUAAAUUUUCUUUUCACAGUUCAACGGCUGAAAUAGAAAUUCUUGCCAGUUUGCUGUCUUGGUUUUGUCGUCAUGUAGGGAAUAAUAUAUACAUAUAAAAAGAAAAAAAGGACGCUAAGGUUGGCUUUUCAUUGCCUCAUUAUUACAAUUAAAAAGAAUUGUGAGAUAACGUUAAAUUUAUAUUUGCAUAACUUAUUCACUUGUAACCAAAAAAAAAGGUGGGGAAGAAAACCCCGCAUUACUUUUUAAUGCUUAGGAUUAGCAAAUUAGACUACCAAACAUGAUUAUUUGCCACACUUUUAUAACCUUUCUUUUCAGUUAAUGACUGGACUAAAUUCCUAAUUAUAUACAUCGUUUUGCCUGACCCAGAUUCCUGCAUACAGAUAUCCUACUGGAUUUAAAGGUUGGCUUUUCAUUGCCUUUUCAGAAAUUGACAUUAAAAAAAAAACAAGAUAAUCCCCUUUGGUAAAUUAAUUUUUCUACAGUUGAUUGUUGCUAACUUGGUUUUAAGUCUAUCCCAGCUACACAACUUCAGUGCUGGUUUCGUUAUUUUGUCUAGUUGAGGCAUGUAGAGCCAUGCUGUUUCGUUUGUCGGGAACAGCAGAGAAGUUGAAUACGUUUAAAAUUAUAACACAUUCGUUUUUAUUUUAAAUUUUUCAACUCUAUUAAUUGGUGUAUACGUUUUUGUGUAAACAUUGUUUCAGCUAGUAGCAAUUUUCCAAGUUGCUAUCGCUUUGUAGUAAGAAGCCUUUGUGUUCCUAAAGGAUCCUAAAGUUCGAUAUGGAGGUAAUUAUAAGAUAUUUUGUUUCUGAAUCCCCAUCAAUAGCUUUUUUCAUGGCAUUCAUUUGUAAGUUUAUUGUAAAAUGUGUAUUAAAUAUAACCACAAAAAUUACAAAAAAAUUCGGUCUCCUUUUUUUCGAUUUGGUCUUGAAAACAUGGCAUUACUGUACAUCACGUGUAUCAUUUUAAUAGAAACUUUUGAUUCCUUAUUAACUGAGUUUAAAAUAGACCCAGAAAUGACCCCCCCCAAAAAAAAAAAAUUACUGGAAUGAAUGUAAAACAAUGUGUGGGAAACGAAUAUGAAAAAAUGCGUUUUUUUUUUCAAUGAAAUUUUAUAGAAAUACUCUUCAAACAGCAUACAUUACGAUUAUAAAGCAAUUUGUGGGGAAAAUCUAUUUCAAGGGGGCGUGAGGCGCGUCAAUAUCAACCAGUCGAGAAGGCAAAUGUAACGGUUAAAAAAAAAAAAAAAAAUUACACACAUACCAACUUGAAAAGAAAUCAAGCAAUCUUACGACGUCGUUUUCCUCUUUCCCUCCAACACUUUACGGAAAAUGCCGAUGUGAUGUAAAUAAACACAUGGUUUAUGACAGUGUAAAGUAUUUGUCAAAGAACUGGCUCCAUGUUUAUUUGGUCAAUAUAAAGAUUUUCGCUCGUGAAGAGAAAAAAAAAAAACCCAGCCUGCUGGGUGUUAAAAGAAGUGUAGAAAACGACUAUGAAAAAAAUUUGCGCUAACGACCCGAGGGGGUGGGGAAGACUUUCGGAAAAUUCACAAGAUAAGAUUUUUCCGUCAUGAUUUUCGGUAUAUACUUGUUAACGCCCAGCAGGCUGGUUUAUUUUAUUUUUUUCUUCACGGGUGCAGAUCUUUAUAGUGACCCAUUUGGUGUGCUGGUGGAAUAGCAGCUUGUGCAGGAAAGAUGGCAAUCUGCCUUUCAAACACACUUUUUAGCAACUGAGACCCGAGAGAAUGACUAGGUUGGUAGGAUCCGGCUGUUGGAAAAUAUAAUGGGAGAAAUGAAAUGCCAAAAAGGCAAUCUUUCGAUGUAGAUAUUUUGUCAUUCCUUCCCAGCUGUUUUAAUUUUACGAAAUACCAUCAAAACAGCUGGGAAGGAAAGACUUCCGCCCGUGACAGAUAAAGGUAGCUAUAUCGAAAGAAUGGGACCGUCUGGUUUUCCUCACUUCAGAGUAUUUUUUGUUAACGGAGAUAUUCACACAUAUUUCAGGAGAUAGUUAAAUGUUGAUACUCGCGGUGAUAUACAGUAAUGACCGUGAAAACUAUUAGCAUGUUUCUGAGACUAUUUUUCAGGCAUGUAUUUUCUUUGAAUCUAUUUUAAAGUUUAGCGUGAUAACUCGUUUUAGUGCCUAUGGGAGAUUGCCAAGGUUUGUCUCGUUUCUGGUUUACAUGAAAUUUCAGUACUUGUUGCUUGUGACUAAACUUACAGUGGGAGUAUAUUUUUGUAAACAUCUUUUUGAAUAUCAUAAAAGCACUAAUACGAGGCUAUCAAAAAGAACUUUCUGAAAUUUUUAAUUUGAAGCGCAAGUACUCUACUGAUGAGUACCUAUCACCGAGAUCCGCCUGUAAAAUAUAACGUGUGAAAGCCAAAUUGUGAUAGGAUCUUGGAAUGUUUUCACUUUAACAAACUUUUUCCAUUCAGUCACGCUCAUGAAUAUUUGGCAGUUUUUAAUAAAUGACAUACUCACGUAUAACAAGCCUAGUAUACAAUUUAGUAUAUUCAAUUUAUACCCAAGUGACAAAGCCAAGUUUUUAAUUCUUCGUCUUGAAUCGUACUUGCGCUUUUUAUGACAUGUUGAUGACACGUCUUCCCGAUUAAGGAUGAAGUCAUAACAUUACUUCAUUCCGGCUUCCUCAGUUUUUUCUUUUCAAGGAUAUUGGGGUGGUUUGCCAUUGCCUUCCCCUUUUUAAUUACUGAUAGAAAUUUCUCGGGAAAUUCGUGACAACGGUUAAGCACUGAUUACUGGUUAACCAAUACUGAGAAAAACUGUCCUAUUUACGUUCCCACUAAUAUUGCUCAGAACUUAUUUUUGGUAAUUCUAAAGAUUUCGAUUAAGUGAUUGUUUUCAACAGAUUGGACUUUUCCUCAUUCUAAGUAAUGAGACUUCUCGUAAAUAAAGUAAGUUGGAAUAAUACACAUCCUAGAAAAUUUAGAAUUUUUUUUCUAAAACUUUUGAGUUAUUUUUUUUAACUAUCACACUCAUCUACAUGAAAGCAAGCAACAAUGAGUGAAAUUGUGUAUUCAAAUCGUGAUUAUUUUAUUUCCAAUUGUCUUAUAAAUAUACGUGAGUUUUAAUCUUGGAAAUUUUUGUUUGAACCAUCAUGUUCAAAGUCAGGCAGCACUAUUAUCUUCCAGGACCCUAUGAAAGUGUAUUCUCUGAGGUGAAAAGUGGGUGUUAUUACAAAUGAUAUCUAAUUAUUCAACUCGACGCAAGAAGGCUUCACAUCCUUACCUCAAAUAAUGGAUGUAAAUCUAUUGUAAUAUCGGGGUCACUUCUCCAAAUCAAGGGGAGGUAAAUGUGAUAAAAUUCGGUGAUUUCUGCCACUUCAAUUUUUCUAUCAAGCUAAGAUGGUUGACUGAACCACUGUCGCCUCUGAUUUGACAUUCAUUCGGCAACCAAUGAGAUGUAUUAAAACAUUCCUACCAUGCUGUUAGUAUAGCUUACAGGUGUGUUAAAUCUAAUGUUAAGGUAAAGUAAGAUUUGAAACGGGUAGUAAUAACAAAGUCAGAAGAAAAAUGGAAGUCAAUCAUCAUCGUUUAACGUCUGCCUUCCAUGCUAGCAUAGGUUGGACGAUUUGACUGAGGACUGGCGAACCAGAUGGCUACACCAGGCUCCAGUCUGAUUUGGCAGUUUCUACAGCUGGAUGCCCUUCCUAACGCCAACCACUCUGAGAAUAUAGUCGGUGCUUUUACGUGCCACCUGCACAGGAGCCAGUUCAGCGGCACUGGUAACGACCUCGCUUGAAUGUCUUCAUGUGCUAGGAAGGCGACGCUGGUAACGAUCUUGCUCAUUUAAAUUUAUAUGCAUAGAACAAAAUUAGAUGUUAAAUGGUUUCGAUUACUGAUUUUAAAAUUCUUAUAUCUUACUCAUACGGUGCGAGAAAUUGCUAGUUCUGUGUUGCAUUUCUUUUUUUAGCUAAGCAUCAUAUCCUAAAUCUUGAGUAAUUUCCACCAUCUGAUUGAACACAAGUCCAGGUACCUGUGAUCAUUGUCUUACAAAUGGGCAGUUCCCUUUUGUUGUUACUUCUGAUUUUGUUUUUGUUUCACAUUAGCAUUUUUCUUCCUUUUUCCAAGAUAAGAUUUAAUCCAAAGUAACAUUUGUGGUAUUGACUUGAAAGUGUAGCAAUAAAAAAAUAGUGAACAGCAAAUAAAAGAACGCAAUUUUACUUAGUAAUUUACAACCUUACAUCAUUUUCAAACUUUUGUUUGUGGUGGUGAGGAUAUGAAAACCUAAUUAUUGAUGUAUUUGAAUAAUUGACAUUCAUUUGUAAUUACACUCUGAUGUCUUGAUGAGGUAAACACUUUCAGUGGGUUCUGAGAACUUAAUCCUGAUUUAAAAUCUAUUUUGUAUUGCUUUUCAUUUUUUUUUUUGCAAACGAAGCUUUCUACCACAAUGUACAUAAAUCAUAUUUGAGACCUUGAGAUACAAGGUUUUAAAAUUCUUAAGACUUAAUGACUUGUGCAUACAGUGAUAUUACAUAAUUCUGUUCUGGAUUUGCAAUUGUUUGGGAAGGGUGUUCAUGCAUGGGUUGGAUAACUGAUUCCUAACUCAAUACCUCUUCAGGUAGAAGGCUUACUGAAUAUUGACCCUACUAUGAAAAUAUGUGCUGUUCUCUGGACCAGUAAACGGUAAGUAUUAGUGUUUGACCUGUGGCACCUAAAAGAUUACAUAUUAGAAUUGAGUGUAGCAAAGUAGUUUCACAUCCUUGUGAUGUCUUGGAUGAGCAUGAUUGACUUGUGAUAAAUGGUUGUAUUGAGUUGGAUGUGAUUGAUUAUAUGGGGAUUUAGCUAGUAGAUCACAUUUUGUGGCUUUUAUACUUAAUCAUUGGGCUGCUGUAAUAUUAGGACACUGCCUUUAUUGUUUUAUUAUUCAUUAUAUUGACACCAUUGCUUUGAUAAUUCAAUGCAAGGAAAUAUGUAUCCCCUUGGGUGUAAUAAGAUAUUACUAGAGAAAUUUUUAUAGCACACUAAUACACACAGACUGUAAGAAUUGGGUAGGAAUGAAAUUGAACCUGGAACCAUGUGGUUUUGAAGAGGACUCGCACCACAGUUAUACCUGCACCCACGUUUUAUUUGUAAUUAUCACUUUAAUGAUAUGACACUAAAACCAAUGGGGUGGGGUAACUAUCUGCUUAAGUUUUUCUUUCAGCUUUUUUUUUUUUUUUAUAAUUUCAAAAAUGUCAUCUUUAUUGAAGGACCAACCCUAAAGAGCAAAUUAUGCUCUUCAGUGAUCUUCACAUUUCAUCAAGUGACACAUCAAAAGCUUACAUAAGGUAAAAACUGGAAUUGAACUUGCUUCUUCUUUGCUGAAACACAUGAAAUUAGACUUGUUAGUAAAUCUGACAUUUACACUUUUUAGAAACUACCAGGAAUUGCAAUGUAGAGAUGUGCAGGAUAUUUAUUAUAGGGCAAGUUUGCAUUAGGUUUGAAGAUGCUACCAUUAGGAACCUAAUUUUUUCUAUUUGCUUACCUUAUAUUGUAUUUUCACAUCUCUUGAGCCUAAAUACUUCUUCAAUUCAUGUCAUGUGCAUUCAUUUUCAGAAAUCUGUAGUUAAGCUCUGAAAUUUAUCAAUUUUGAAGAGUAUUGGUAAACAAUUUUUACAUUCAGCCAAAACAUAUUUUUAAAUAGAAUUAUUUUUAGAAUUUAGUGUAAUUAUAUUAUGAAGCUAAUUCGACAAACUGAGGCUCUUAAAUAAUCGCAAUUUUGAAUUGGCACAUUAAUAAUUUGGAAUUAAGUGACUGGACAAGAUAUACCAAUUUCUCAUAUGAAACAUUUUUAAAACACUAAGUGUUAAGAUUCUUAACUCAUCAAAUGCAAUUCACCUGUGAAAAGAAGAGAAAAUGGUUUGCUCUAAACCUUACUUUACAUUUAAAUAUUGCAAGCAAUCUAGUUGGAGCAGAGUUGAAGUUUCUGACAUCAGUCUUGACUCAAAAGAUUGAUAAGACAUGAAAAUUGUUCCUAAAUAUCAUUUAUUGCUUUAAUAGUCACCUAUGCUAUGAUAACCUGAACAGGUUUUCAAGUAUACCUCUAAAUUCAUUUGAUGCAAAAUCUGUAGCUAUGCACUUUACAUAUUCAAGUCCACCCUGUAUUUGGUAGCUGGAGUUUUAGAGGAAUCUUCCCAACCAUUCCUGUAUUAUGUCAAUAAUCUUGAGUCCCUUUAUUUCAUGAAUUAAAAAAAAAGUUAUUUAGGUAACUAAUAAAAAUCAAUUAGGCUGAAACUGAAAUUAGAUUAAACCUAUUGAACUUUUUAUGUACAUCUUUGAAUUUGACAUGAUAGGAAAGAAGAUUAGUAAAGUGGGGAUAUCUAUCAGCUGAAUCUCCAUAUUUUAAAAUAGUUUAAACACUUACAAUGAUACUGCAUUUUCUUUCCCUUAAAAAAAUUCAGUUCAAUAUAUUCUAGAUGUUAUUGCAUAAUAUGAUUUCAUUGCAUUUGAGGUUUGGAUUCUUUGGCUAAGAGAUAUGGUUUCCCUGGAUCAACCCCAAAAUUUGACAAAGGUGAGCAAAUGAACUACAUGGUAAAUUGGUGAAAAUCAAGUCAAGAUGUUAGAAGAUACAUUGGAGCAAAUCAUUUCAGAAAGGCAUUCAGAAUUUGAAUUGGAAACAAAAUAUUAUUUUAGUCGGGCAUUAAGAAAUUUGGAUGAAUUUUGCUCAGGUACAUUGUCUAAUCUCAAUUACUUAUACUACUCUGCUGCACACCCUACAUCGGUGUGAUUAAUAAGGAUCUAUCAGGCUUCAACCACCAUCUCAGUUGUGUUUCUGCUUGACUAGUUAACUGGUUCCAUUGUUUUUAACUGACAUCACACUGAACACGUUAUAGCUUUCCUAAAAACAUCUACAAAAAGUGUUCAGAGUGAACAUCAAUUGCAGUCUGGAUGAGAUGAAAAGGUAAUGAUGGCCAGUGUUCUUCCUAUAGUAUAACAAAAAAAAAAUCUGAUAGCAAUUUGUAUCAGAUGAAGAGCAGCUCCAUAAUUUUCUGUGAUACAUUUUGUAAAAGACAUGUCCAUAUAAAAAUAUUUAAGAUCUUUAAUGGUGACUUGAGAAUGUUCGAAUGCUUGCUUAGUGAGUUUUCAAAAUCUGCAAGUUAUAGAUUUUCAAAAUGGAACCAUGCAGUGUAGUUAAGUAGGAAUGGUUACUAAAUGAUUUCAUUAUACUGAAUUGGAAGUUUUACAUUUUACAUUAAAAAAAAAAUCAAAAAGUAUUGAAUUUCUAACAGUUUUAGUAAUUUAUGCUGUUUACUAAGACAUUUUGUGUGAAGUCCCUUCCUGAUGCAACAUGCUAGUAAUCAUUUAAACAACAGUCAAAAGAGUUCUAAAGUAAAGGAGCAGCACUGGAGAAAAAUCUGAAGCAAAUUAGUGGAGAGGUCACACACAAAAGGAAGCCAGAAAUAUUGGUUUCCUUGAUAUUGCAUGAUAGCAUCCUGCUGAUUCAACAGUGAGUAUAUUCAGAAACUAUUAAGGACAUUCAGUAUGUUGUGAUAUUUCUGUUACUAUAAAAAUAAAUACAUACAAUUUCAUUAGAAUACUGUUCUAUAGUAUUCUGUUUCAUGAGAAGUUGAAAAACCAGUUAACAAGACAGUUGGAAAAAAUUCUGCACUAUAUGAAAGCUUUUUACCAUUUGAUAUAUUUGGGAUUAAAUUCAAAGUUGUUUGCUUUUGUUUGUACAUUGGCAGUGGAGAUGAACAUUGACUGGAAGUAAAGAGCCUGUCUACCUAUCAGAUUAGAGGUUAAUUCAUUUAAUCUCUCUGCGUUGAGUGUAAGUCAUUCUUUAUACAAAUAUGGUCUUAGCACAAAGACAAUUUUAUGCCAACUAAUGGCGAAUGCAUUUGUUUCUCUAGACCUAAUGGAAGAUGUUUUGAGACAGAGAAUGAAGUUGAAAAUGACAAGCAGGGAACUUCAGCUUUUAUAGAACACUUUUGCUUCUUUUUUCAUAAUGUGGAGUUGUAUAUGUGAAUGAAAAUUGUUCUCAUGAAAUAAUUUGGUGAUAUUUGUUAUUGCUGAAUGGUUACAAAGUUCAUUUAACAGCCAUUCUGCAUUCCAUGCCAGUGUGUGCUUGUUACAUGCUUUAUAUUUUGUGAUUUAAAAUUUUGCAAGCGAAAUGGCUACUUGGUGCAAUGAAAGAAAGAAGACAUUAUACUUGAUAAAGUAUGCCAGAGCCAACAUUUGAGUAUGAUAUAAUAAUUUGAUCUGUCAGGUCCUAUCAAACAAUACAACUCGUGGCCAGCUUGGAUUUUGGUUGUUUCUAAGUAAAUGUGAGAGGCAUGUUUGUAUUAGUUUAUCAUUGGCAGAUAAAAUGAGAAGGCCAGUUUUGUGUCUCAGGUAAGCAGGCGUCAUCUUCUAGAUGAAACCUUUUACAUUUUACAUUAAUUCUACUUACAAAUGGUUGUUUGCAACAGUAAUAAAAUUCACCAUAGUUUUGUGCAAGAAUCUGAUGUUUAGUUUUAUAAAAAUAGCGUCAUGGGUCUAUAAUGGCUGCAGGGACAGUUACCUAUAGAGUAGUAGUAAAGAUGUAUUUAGGAAUUUAGUUGCCAAUUUUAAUGUAUUUCCCAAAGAUAUUCACAGGUUGGGGUAAGGUCUAAAUAACUUGUAUUUGUCAAUACAAGUUUGUGCUUUCCUCACAUAGUUUUGCAGUACAGUUAACAUCAGUGUGAAGGGAAAGUUACUAUAAUACCUGAAAUACAACUAGGUAGAUGGCAAAUAGGGACUGUUGAAUAAUGAAAGUAAAUACAGUAAGAUUUCACAAUAUGGCAUGUAGAUUUUUCAUAAAUAUGUUUGUUUCACAAAAGGUAGUGAUAACAGCAUUUUUGGACAGAAACUAGAUAGAGGCGAUAAAGUAUUCGAGGAAAGUUAUUAAUGUAGAAAUACAGGAAUAGAUAUGAAAUGUUUUUAUCAUGUGCUGAACCUUUACAAGGUUCUAUGAUAUGUGCUAAUGUAGAAUGUUAGUGAAAUUGAAUUGAUAUUACAAAUCAGAUGGUAAUUUGUAUGGCACACUGAUCCGUUUUCUCUCAUUGCUUUUUUGCUUUACUUGCAGUGGAAAAGUGUACCCGGGUAAUAAUUAACCAUUUAAAUUUCCCUAAAGAAAAUAUUUUAACAUAUAUUUAAAGUGAAAUAAAAAAAUUGAGAAUAAGUGUGCUUCUCUUUCACGAAGACAAAAGUACUUCGUGUAUGUGCAUGUUUGCAUAUUCACUCAAUUUCAAAGCCACUUUAUUAUGUGUUGAUAGAAGCAAAUUUUACAUGAAAGCAAAAGACUUUUUUUCCUAAAUCAAAAGUGCUAUUGUUUACUAGUUUUGCCAUUAGCAUGUUUCUGAGUCUCCAUCUUUGGCAGAUACAACGAUGACAUGAAGAAUCCUAGUGUCGUUCAGAUAAGUGAACUUCAUUGUAUUUAGUUGAAACUAAUAGCUAUAAUGUGUGUGUGUAUGUUUCUGAGUAUUUUAUUCAUUGACAGACAUGACGAAUGUUGGAAGGAAAUACAAUAUGUAAGAAAUCAGUUCUUUUUUCCCCCAUUUCCUGUCUGUUAACAUCUCAAGAUAUUUGUCGUGUUUACCUGUGCAACUGAUUUAACGCUGAGUGUUUUUUCCCUUCAGCUCUGGUAUUUUUGAGUUUUGAUAUGAAGUGUGUAAGAAUGUUCCCUUGUGAUGACUAUUGAAAUUAAUAAUUGCAGAUCUGUUUGGCUACAUUUAUAUACUUACUUGCAAUGUAGGGAAUCUAAAAUGAAAAUGGUAUGGUAGCUUUUUGAGUAAUUUUAUGGGCAGAGGUUUGGAAAAUGGGCUUUGUUUGUUUCUCACGUGAUAUUUAGAUGAUGAAAUUGGAAAUCGUCUUGAUACGUGUGUCAGAUUGAAGAUAGCGUCUAUGCAAGUUACGAAGUAGGUCAUUUGUUUCCACACAUGAAGGUAAAGAAAAUAUCAUUUGAACAGGUCUGUGUGGGGGUAACGUGUGAAUGUAAAAAUUAAGUCGUUUCUUGUUUGUAGAAAUGACGUCCUUUUACUGUGCAUGCAUAUGUUUGUAUGUUUCUGUCAUUGGCAGAUGUGAUGACAUAAAGAGGUCUGGAUAGGACAAAAGCACUAAGAUAAGCCCUAUUAUUUCAUUUCUGUUUAGUGUAAUUGAGUUGCUUUAAUGCUUUUUCUGUAGAUAUUUGGAGGAAGAUUGUACUAAAUGUAAUGUUUAAAUUUGAUUGUUUCGUAAGCAUGGAAAAUAAUGGAGAUAAGUAACGGCAUAGAUUGUUGAUGAUAUUUUGUGUUGGUUGUGAACUUUUCUCUUCUUAUGUUUUGGAAUUUUUGGAAAAUGCUCUGUAAGUGUUUUCAGUUACCUUAUUACUAUAAUGUUAAGUUUUUAAAAGAUUGAUUGGAAAUAUUUAGGGCCGAACCGUUUGUUGUUUUUUGUAUGUUGUUCUUUGACAGAUGCAAGCCCUCCAGGAAAAGUAGGACCUGCAAUAAGAUAAGAGAAAAGUUUGUUUGUUUGUAGUUAAUAUCCCUUUGUGUUUUAUCUGUUCAUUGUAUGUAUGAAAAACGCUGCUCGUUGUAAGAGGGUCAGUAAUUUGAGUGAUCUCUAAAUUAUUCAUACAUUCUGUUUGCUUUUUAUGAUGCAAUAUUUUCUUAACACACAUAUUUCCGUGUUACAAUUUAUGUUUCAAAAAAAUGUUGUAAUUUGUUGUUGCUUACUACUAUUUCUUCAUUUCAUUUCCAUUUGAUUGCUAGUUAACUAUAUUGUUACUUAAAAUAAUUGUGCUCACUUUCAGCAUAGUGAAACUUUCAUUGAGUUGUUGUUAAUAUGUAGAGCACAGUGUUGCCUGUGUCUUUCUGUUGUUUUUUUGUUUGCUUUCCUUGCAGUGCAAAAAGCUAAAGUUAGUAAAGUAGAGUAAGUAAGCAGUUUCAUUCAUUGUUAUAAAAUGACCUGUAUUGUUGUUUGCAACAUGCUUUCUAUAUUUGACACAAAAUCUGUAGAGAAAAGAGAUGUGUAAUUGGCUUGGAGGAGACUGAAGCAAUGAAAUUCCGGCUGGUAGGACUACAUUUUUGCUUUUUAUGACGCAAUAUUUUCUUAACACAUAUAUUUCCGUGUUACAAUUUAUGUUUGAAAAAAAUGUUGUAAUUUGUUGUUG